UUUAUUUCUUUUUUUUUCGCGUACAGUUUCGUAUGCGCGCGUGCGCAAUCCACGCAGAUUGUUAUAUUAUUCUUGUUAUAACAAUCUUUUGUUUUGUGACCGAGUUGAAAAUUUCGUGAUCUUCCGGUUGUAGAUAAUAAACGAAGACUGUGUUAGGGUGUAAAUAUUUAUUUUUUUUUAAUUUUACCGGAAGGACUUUUUAAGAGUUUUGAAACACGUGGACAGUGAAAAAAGAUUGUUUCCUUGUCGUUACAGACAAGGGAAUAAUAUUUCGAUAUAUUUGACAGAACUGAAUGAAACACUUUAUCAAGUGGAGAAAAAAAUCCAGUGCCAGUUCGUGGAAAGCAGAGUGCCAUACCUGAGCGAGUGGCACUCCUCCAAAAAUCCUCAGGUCCUUUUAGGAACCACAUGGAGAGUAGGAACCACCGCUGCCUGCAGUAAGGAUAGUAGGAGACCUGCUGCCUAAAAAGUAGGAGUCCUGCUUGGCAUACCACUAGGAGAGUUACUGCUGCCUCCUGCAGGAGCAGUAGGAAGCUGGCCCCCGCCGCCUUCAGUGAGAGUAGGAGGCCUGCCAACGGCCACCGCCCCCUCCCCCCCCUCCCCCCACCCCCACCCCACUAUCCCCCCCACAAACGCAAAAUGUCGACGCCCGGGGAGAGGUUACUUAGCCAGAUCCAGAUGGUGCAAGGGCAGGUCACUCAACUUCGUCAGGAGGCUUCCAUCAAAAGAAUUCCCGUCAGCCAGGCCUGUAGCGACUUGAUGAAAUACUGCGAGGAACACCAACACACAGACGUCCUAGUGACCGGCAUCACUCAGUCCGAGAAUCCGUUCAAGGAGACCAAAGCCUGCAGCAUCUUGUGAUGGAGGACCCCCAACGUAAGCAUAGUUUGGGACUGAUAGACACACAAUAAUCGUGAAGAGGAAGUAAGAAAAAGAAGAAGAAGAAAGAGAAGGAGGAAUAAAAGAAGAUAAUGAAGGAGGAAAAAGAAAGGGACCCUUCUUCUUCUACCUGAGAAUUUUAUCAUCUACAGCCUCACUCCCUUUCCCUCACCACCUCCCACUUCUCCCUUCCCCUUCUUUCCACUCCCCCUUCCUCCUCUUAUUCUUCUUCCUUUUCCCCGCUUCUCCCUUUAUUAUUAAUAGUUAUUAUUAUUAUUACGACCAAAAAAAAUACUGUUUUGGCCUCAUGACAAAAACAAAUCAACUUUUUCCUUGUGUUUAGAUAAUAAUACUUGGUAGAAUUAAGACUGGUUAAGUGUGUGUGUGUGUGUGUGUGUGUGUGUGUGUGAUUGAGAGAGAGAGAGAGUGUGUGUGUGUGUGUAUGUGUGUGUGUAUGAGAGAGAGAGAGAGAGUUUGAAUUAAUCUAGUUAAGGCAUCAAGUCUUCUCGUAUUUCAACAGAGUAACAACGGAAUACCUGCUAUUCUGUUUCCUGUGUAUAAACUCACUUUUUAGGUUGUAUUGGGAUUAGAAUAAUUAUUAUUAUUAAUAUUAUUAUUAUUAUUAUUAUUAUUAUUAUUAUUAUCAUUCAUUAUUAAUAUCUGUUGUGGCUAUUCUUCGCCAUUAUCAUUCAUCAUCAUCUUUUUCUUCUGCUUUUUCUUCUUCUUCUUUGUUUUUCGCAGAAGUAGGUUAGAGUAAUGUGGGUGACUUAUGUGGAUUAAACUUGUAAGAUAAGAAUUCUGACUGACAGUCUUUCGCAGUGUGUCAGUGGAAUAUAUUAUUAUUAUUAUUAUUAUUAUUAUUAUUAUUAUUAUUAUUAUUAUUAUUGUACUAUCUCGUAAGACUUUCCGGAAGUGCUUUAAAAUCAAAAGUGUUAAAAGAGUGCUUAAGUCAAGUGUCCAGAAGAAGUGAGACAACAUUUUUUUUUUAGCCGUAGUCGACAGUGUUCCCUCCUCUCUCGUGAAUAAACUUAAUUUUGGAAUAUUUCGAAGCUGUAAUUACGUGGAUAACUCGGGCUUUCGCAAAUUGAACGAAUGCGUCAGUAGAUCUAUCAGUGAUACGCUAAAUUUACUUUUAUUUCAAGUUCCUAUUAUAAAUUGGAUUGCGCUCAGAGGGUCAAAUCAUAGUAAAAUAAUUUUACGGCGAUACAACACAUUUGUAUAUUGAUGUAUCUUCGUGGUUGAUACUAGCGUUGAUAUAGUGUAUUUCCCUCGUCUUUUAAAUUUAAUAUCCAACACUUAUAGAAAAAGAUUGUUAUACAUAUAACUAUAAAAUUUUCACAGUUUUUAUUUCUUGAAAGGCAAUUCUUAUUCAAUCUAGACUCUUUGCAAUUUCUUAAUUCAUUUCGUAAAGUGAUAAAUGUUAUAAUUGGGCCAUUUCACCUUGAAUAAAUGAAAAAAAUAAGAGAGAAACUAUCCUAUAAAGGCGAAACACUUACAUUCAAUAUAGUCCGUGAUAUCUUGCAAAUUCAUUAGGCCUAAAUUCGAUCAUUUCUUAGGCCCACGUUACUUAACCAACCACUUAACUGACUGACUCUUUCAAGUAAGUUUACUAGAAAAAAAAAAAUUGAGGAAAACCAUUCAAAGGCUUAAGAAUUACGCUUAACAUCGUCUAUGAUAUCUACGAAUUACAUUAGGCCUAACUCCUAUAAGUUCUUAGGCCUAUUUCACUGAAACAGUUAUACCAAACUGACCACCACAGUUAAGUGAUUUUAACUUUAAGAAAAUUAAAUAAGGAAAAACCGCUCAAAGGGGUAACAAUUACACUCAACGUUGUAUAUUUUAACUGUGAAAUACACUAGGCCUAGCAGAAUUACAUCGGGCGUAAUUCCUAUAAGUUUGAUAAGUUUAUAGGCCUAGGUUACCUCUAACCAACCACCAAACUGACCGACUCGGAUUCACCUCUGGUUUCCCCGUCUCUCGUGACUCUCUUCCUCCCUUCUUCCUCCUCUUCCUCUUCCUCCUCCUAUUCUCCUUCGUCCUCCCCUUUAUCGUCCGUCUCCAAUGUAUCCCUCUAUUCGUCAUCCCCUCUGCCUCAAUCCUCCUCCCUCUCUCACUCCCCUUCGACGUUCAUCUCCGGAUCGACGUCUUCCUUGCGAUCGUCGACUGUUUCUUCUUCGUCCCUCCUUCGCACGCCCUCCGAGGAAGGGUCCUCCUCCCCCUCCCCCCUGGCUCCGGAGGGCAGCUAUAAUAUCAGCCCCUUCGCGCCCUUUUCCAACGCCCGAUGGCGGGACCUUCUCGCCAACUUGCUGUUCUUCGUAGCGACGCUCUUCUUGUUUUCGCUGUUGGUCUUCGCUGUUCUUCUCACCUCGUCCUCUGUUCUGCAGGGUGUUCUCACCUUCUACGUCUCUCUCCUCUUGGCUUUGUUCACGUCCGUGUUCAUCUCUUCUCUCGUUGUUCUGACGUUCGUCGUCGCUUCUCAGGUUGUUUUGUCUCUCUCCUGCUCGUUGUUUUUCCUCCUCUGCGCAGUUUUCGUUGGCGGGAGCCGGUGGGGUCGAAACAACAGUAAUUUUCUGGCCUAGGAAAACCAGAGCUAAAAGAUAAUAUAUUAUUAAAACACGUUACCAUGGAAGCACAUAUGUUCUUUUUAAUUCGUAUGCCCCAGAAGUAGUUAUUAUUAUUAUUAUUAUUAUUAUUAUUAUUAUUAUUAUUAUUAUUAUUAUUAUUAUUAUUAUUAUUAUUAUAGGCCUAAUAGCCUCUCGAGUCAAUACUAAAGUAUUAGUAUAGCCCUAAUAGCCUCUUGAGUGAGGACCAAAGUAUUGUUAUAGGCCUGAUGGCCUUUCGCGUGAGGAUCAAAGUAUUAUUAUAGGCCUAAUGGCCUUUCGUGUGAAGAUCAAAGUAUUAUUAUAGGUCUAAUGGCCUCUCGAGUGAAAACCCAAGAAUUGUCUUAGGCCCAAAAGCCUCUCAAAUAAAGACCAAAAAUUGUCAUAGGCCUACUGACCUUUCAAGUGAAGACCCAAGUAUUAUUAUAGGCCUAAUGCCCUUUCGAGUGAAGACUAAAGUAUUAUUACUAUAGGCCUAAUAGCCUAUCGAGUUGCUAUAGGCCUCCUAAUACCCUGUCAAGUGAAGAUGAAAGUAUUUUUAUAGGCCUAUAAAGAAGCCUUCCGAGUUUGAAGUGUAGACUAAAAGUAUUGUUAAGUCGUCAGAAUGUCUUAAAUUAGGACUUGUGUUUGUGUGUUUAUCUAAACGUAUAUAUAUCACUGCCUUGGACUGAUUGCCUUAAGAUUGGAGUGUACUGUGAACUGUAAUGACUUGUGAUUUAAUCAUUUUUAGACUUAAUUCUCAUCGUGGUAUUCAUAAGCUUUGAUUUAUUACUUUUAUUUUGCCCUUUACCGUUUAGUGGUAUUGGCUGUUUAUUGGGUAUGCGUGUAUAUGUAUGUAUGUAUGUAUACUACACACAUGCUGUAUGCCUGUACUCAUGAGUGCAUUGAUUGAUGUAGCUUUAAUUAUCGUAGCUGGAAGGUGUGACUACUUAAAACCUGGAAAAUUCCAGUGGAAGGAAGAUUUGUAUACGGUACAAUAUUUUAUCAUGAAUUAUCAUCCACAUUUUUCGAUGCCUGUUCUUUGCUGCAACUCUUUAGGCUAACUGUAGAACUUAGCGACCUAACUUUAUUUGUUAUGUAAUGUGUAGCUUUUUUUUUCAACAAACUUGGAGCCUUUGCUUGCUUAUAUACAGUGAUAUUAAAUUAUAUAAAAAGGAGUAUUUCG